AUUCCAGCUCCAAUAGCGUAUAUUAAUGUUGUUGCAGUUAAAAAGCUCGUAGUUGGAUUUCUGGAUUGAACGGCUGGCCUUGCGCGCAAGCGUUCGUGUCGGCUUCUUCGGUCCAUCCUCAGGGGAACGUGCGCUGGCAUUAACGUGUUGGUAUUCGGACGCCUGUCGUUUACUGUGAACAAAUUAGAGUGUUCAAAGCAAGGUGUACUUGAAUACAUUAGCAUGGAAUAAUAAGAUAGGACUUUGGUGGUUCUUUUUGAUAUUUUGUUGGUUUGCACGCCAAAGUAAUGAUUAAUAGGAGCAGUUGGGGGUAUUCGUAUUCAAUUGUCAGAGGUGAAAUUCUUGGAUUUAUAGAAGACGAACUACUGCGAAAGCAUUUACCAAGGAUGUUUUCAUUA
rnacentral:rRNA from 1 species